rnacentral:rRNA from 1 species
ACGCUGGCGGCGUGCUUAAUACAUGCAAGUCAACUUGACUUUAGAUAGCAAUAUCGAAAAGUAGGGUGGCGCACGGGUGCGUAACGCGUAGGUAAUCUGCCCUGAGGUCUGACAUAACCCGUCGAAAGGCGGGCUAACAUCAGAUGAUAUAUAAUCACGACAUCGUGGAAAUAUCAAAUCUUCGGAGCCUUGGGAUGAGCCUGCGUCUGAUUAGGUAGUUGGCGGAGUAAUAGCCCACCAGGCCUACGAUCAGUAGCUGGUCUGAGAGGAUGAUCAGCCACACUGGAACUGAGACACGGUCCAGACUCCUACGGGAGGCAGCAGUAAGGAAUAUUGCUCAAUGGGGGAAACCCUGAAGCAGCAACGCCGCGUGAAGGAUGAAAUACUUUGUAUGUAAACUUCUGUAAGAUGGGAAAAUAUUCUCCUCGGGAGAAUUGAUUGUACCAUCAGAGUAAGCCCCGGCUAACUACGUG